rnacentral:rRNA from 1 species
UUCCACGUUUUCCGCGCCGUAGCUAACGCAUUAAGUGCCCCGCCUGGGGAGUACGGCCGCAAGGCUAAAACUCAAAGGAAUUGACGGGGGCCCGCACAAGCGGCGGAGCAUGCGGAUUAAUUCGAUGCAACGCGAAGAACCUUACCAAGGCUUGACAUGGACCGGACCGCCGCAGAAAUGUGGUUUCCCCUUUGGGGCCGGUUCACAGGUGGUGCAUGGUUGUCGUCAGCUCGUGUCGUGAGAUGUUGGGUUAAGUCCCGCAACGAGCGCAACCCUCGUUCCAUGUUGCCAGCGCGUAAUGGCGGGGACUCAUGGGAGACUGCCGGGGUCAACUCGGA